AAUCUGGUUCCAUGGGAAAGUAAAUUACAUCGCUCGAGCGGGUCAACAUAGCCUACAGGUUAAGUGGAUGCUAUCACUUUAUGACAUCUUUUAUUUAUUCCCAUUCAUUCUACCAUUGCUUAACUUUGUUUCAUAAACUGUUGUUGCUAUGUAUGCAAAUGCAGGAUACAUUUCUAGAGCUGAAAUUUCAGGGCAUCAAGAAUUAAUGAGCUGCAGAUAUGGCAUGUGCGUACACGAAGACCUGAUGCAUCAAAGCUCGGUGUGGACACCUCUUCUUACAUGACAUGUUUGUCUACAACUUAUCCGAGCUUCAAUUUCCAGAAUAAAACACAUGUUUUUAUUUAUUAUGGUUUCUUCUCUUAGAUAACCAAACAUUUUGCAGAUGUUGAUUUUUCAUUUCCUUCCAACGCCAUUAAAUCCCAGUGUUUUCUAAUUUGAAAUGGCUCCCCUUAGUAUCACUCCCCUCAGUUUUUGGAGGAACAUGGUGCUAUUUGGUGUUUUUGGUUGUGGAAAAAAUGUCAUUAGUCAGGCACUUUCUAAGGUGGU